UUUCCGUAGGUGAACCUGCGGAAGGAUCAUUAUUGUAUAACCGAGAUGCGAGGGCUGUCGCUGACCCGAAAGGUCGUGCACGCCCGAGUGCCCUCACACACAUCCAUCUCACCCCUAUGUGCACCACCGCGUGGGUCCCCCUUUGGCUUGUUCGCAGGGGGGCUUACGUUUUCACACAAACUUUGUAUGCAGUGUAGAAUGUAUUUUUUGUUUUUGCGAUCACGCAAUCAAUACAACUUUCAACAACGGAUCUCUUGGCUCUC
rnacentral:misc_RNA from 1 species